UGAUUCAGGUACUAUGUAAGAAGGAUAAUGUAGAUAAUGCCAUAUUAGUUUUCGAGGAGAUGGUGAAGAUGGGUUAUGUCCCUAAUUCAACAACUUAUAACUUGGUGAUUAGAGGAUUGUGUCAUGCAGGUGAAAUGCAGAGGGCAUUGGCAUUUACGGAGAGAAUGAAAUAUGAUGAAUGCAAGACAAAUGUUCAAACAUACAAUAUUUUGAUUAGGUACUUCUGUGAUUCAGGAGAGAUUGAGAAGGGGUUGGAUUUAUUUCAGAAGAUGGGCACUGAAGAUUGCUUACCAAAUUUGGACACCUAUAAUAUACUAAUAAGUGCAAUGUUUGUGAGGAAAAAGUCAGCUGAUAUCUUGGUGGCAGGGAAGUUAUUGGUUGAGAUGAUUGAUAGAGGAUUUCUUCCUCGAAAACUUACUUUCAAUCGGGUUCUUGAUGGGCUUUUAUUAACUGGUAACCAAGGCUUCGCGAAAGAGAUUCUGAGUUUACAGAGUAGAUGUGGCCAUCUUCCCAGUAAAUUUAAACUAUGAAGCCU
rnacentral:misc_RNA from 1 species